CCUACGGGGGGCUGCAGUGGGGAAUAUUGGACAAUGGGGGGAACCCUGAUCCAGCCAUGCCGCGUGUGUGAAGAAGGCCCUCGGGUUGUAAAGCACUUUCAGUGAGGAAGAACGCCUGGUGGUUAAUACCCAUCAGGAAAGACAUCACUCACAGAAGAAGCACCGGCUAACUCCGUGCCAGCAGCCGCGGUAAUACGGAGGGUGCGAGCGUUAAUCGGAAUUACUGGGCGUAAAGCGCGCGUAGGUGGCUUGAUAAGCCGGUUGUGAAAGCCCCGGGCUCAACCUGGGAACGGCAUCCGGAACUGUCAAGCUAGAGUGCAGGAGAGGAAGGUAGAAUUCCCAGUGUAGCGGUGAAAUGCGUAGAGAUCGGGAGGAAUACCAGUGGCGAAGGCGGCCUUCUGGACUGACACUGACACUGAGGUGCGAAAGCGUGGGUAGCAAACAGGAUUAGAUACCCCAGUAGUC
rnacentral:rRNA from 1 species